GGGCUGCGGCGCGCGUGCGAGGAGGGCACCGCGGUGACGCUGGCGGAGGGCGAGAGCAUCAUGCAGGUCGUCACGCUGCGCGGCUCCAACCUCAUCGAGGUGACGGACGGCGAGGGCGUCAAGUCUCUCGCCCUCUUCCCCGCCAAGUUCCAAACGAGCUUCUGGAUCAAGAACGGGAAUUUCGUGGUUGUGGAUGCUAGUGGGAGGGACGAGGCUCUCGAAUCUGGAAGUAGGAAGUAUGUGCAUAUACAUGGUACGUGCACGUGCAUACUAUACUGCCUCCUCUAAUAUGGGACCGAGCAGCCGGCUAUCUUCAAGUCGACUCCCAAUGGGUGGGCGACAGGGCAAGAGGGAACGACAUCGCAGGCUGAGGAAGAGCACAACUCCAAAGAAGAAGACGACGAUGAUGAUAUGCCACCACUCGAGGCGAACACAAACAGGAAUAGACCGUUUGCCGUGCAUUCCGACACAGAGAGUGAUUCUGAUUCUUAA
rnacentral:rRNA from 1 species